rnacentral:rRNA from 1 species
UACGAAGGGGGCUAGCGUUGCUCGGAAUCACUGGGCGUAAAGGGCGCGUAGGCGGCCAUUCAAGUCGGGGGUGAAAGCCUGUGGCUCAACCACAGAAUUGCCUUCGAUACUGUUUGGCUUGAGUUUGGUAGAGGUUGGUGGAACUGCGAGUGUAGAGGUGAAAUUCGUUAGAUAUUCGCAAGAACACCAGUGGCGAAGGCGGCUCACUGGUCCGGUACUGACGCUGAGGUGCGAAAGCGUGGGGGAGCAAACAGG